UAGAGUUUGAUCCUGGCUCAGAUUGAACGCUGGCGGCAGGCCUAACACAUGCAAGUCGAGCGGUAACAGAGAUUAGCCUGCUAAUCUGCUGACGAGCGGCGGACGGGUGAGUAAUGCAUAGGAAGUUGCCCAGUAGAGGGGGAUACCAGUUGGAAACGACUGUUAAUACCGCAUAACCUCUUUGGAGCAAAGCAGGGGACUUUCGGGCCUUGCGCUACUGGAUACGCCUAUGUGGGAUUAGCUAGUUGGUGAGGUAAUGGCUCACCAAGGCGACGAUCCCUAGCUGGUCUGAGAGGAUGAUCAGCCACACUGGGACUGAGACACGGCCCAGACUCCUACGGGAGGCAGCAGUGGGGAAUAUUGCACAAUGGGCGAAAGCCUGAUGCAGCCAUGCCGCGUGUAUGAAGAAGGCCUUCGGGUUGUAAAGUACUUUCAGUUGUGAGGAAGGUUGUGUAGUUAAUAGCUGCAUAAUUUGACGUUAGCAACAGAAGAAGCACCGGCUAACUCCGUGCCAGCAGCCGCGGUAAUACGGAGGGUGCGAGCGUUAAUCGGAAUUACUGGGCGUAAAGCGCAUGCAGGUGGUUUGUUAAGUCAGAUGUGAAAGCCCGGGGCUCAACCUCGGAAGGUCAUUUGAAACUGGCAAACUAGAGUACUGUAGAGGGGGGUAGAAUUUCA
rnacentral:rRNA from 1 species